GGGGCUGAGAGGGGAGAGGAGGAAUUUAUGUACCAUUUCACGAAAGGAAAAUACGAAAAUUAAAAAUAAAAGCAGCGUGCCUCAGGCCGUAGGCGUGGACAGUGGACUGGCUUUGCUAAUUUCCUAACUUGCCUUCAAAUUGAAACAAUCUUCAAUCGCACUCUCUUGUCUCUUUCUCUGUAGCGGUCUCCCGGCUUCAAGCGUUUGAAAAUUUUACGUGAGAAAUCAGGGGUUGAUUAGAGGCACGACGAGAACUGAUUGGUCAACGAUACCAUCAAUUGAAUUGAAAUCGCCGGUAACUAACUCUCCACUGCACACACGGAAAGAAGUUAAAAAAAAAAAAGGGAAAAAGAAACAGAAAAUGGCAUCAACUGAGGGUCUGGUGCCGAUUACCAGGAAUUUUUUGGCAUCUUAUUACGAC
rnacentral:lncRNA from 1 species